GGUGCUGUGGUGUAGUGGAUUAACGCCCUGGCCUGAAGAGCCAGCAUUCCAUAUGGGCGCUGGUUCUAGUCCCGGCUGCUCCU
rnacentral:tRNA from 1 species